rnacentral:tRNA from 1 species
GCCGAAGUGGUGGAACUGGCAGACACGCACGACUCAAAAUCGUGUGGGCUGAGCCCAUGAGGGUUCGACUCCCUCCUUCGGCACCA